rnacentral:lncRNA from 1 species
AUGAAAGCGAAUAAAGUUUGCGGGUUUGGUAAUGCUUUUCUUAAAGUCAAGUUCUUAAGUGGUGUCUGUCACAGAAAAGAGCCUCUCUCGCUCGCCCCUUCGGAAAGCCUUGGUGCAACCUCACCUCUCAACAACCCGGGGUUCCUUCACAGCACAAACCCCGGCACGGGCUGCCCAAAUCGCCACCUCCGGACACCCGUCCCGCCGGAGACGGGGACGCACAAGCCUCAACUGAAGGCGGGUUUCACGGCGGGGUACAGGGAAAUCAGCCCAAUUCCGCCGCCCCCCAUAAUGGCACCAGCAGGCGCGGGGUGCAUUCGGCCAGCGGCCCAGGCAAGCAGCACAGGAACCCGGCUGGCCCCGCUGCAGCGAAUGGCGGGGGCGAGAGACUGCCCUGGACCCCCUCCUGUCACGGCGGGGGCUGGGCAGCGCCUCGCCGCCCCGGGCCCGGCACUCCUUCCCGCCCGCCCGCCUCGCAGGCCGCGCCGCGGCCCCGGUGCGUCCGCAGGGCCUGGCACCGCCGCGGGCUCGGGGAGCCCAGCAAACAAAGGGAGCGGAGGCCGGGGCCGCGGCUCGGGAAGAGGGCGGCGGGCAAGUAGCGAACAGGACCGGCCCCAUCCACCGGUUCCGCCUGCACCGCACCAGCCCUCCGCGGCCAGCGGUGAAGGGAGAGGGGAGCCGGGCCGCAGUGCGCCCGCUGCCCCGGGGACGCUCACCCAGCGGAGGCCGCGGUGUCCCGCUCCCGGCGCGGGCCUCUUCCCGGGCACCUCAGCGCUGCGGCCCGGCCUGCGCCGGCGCCCGGGCUCGGCGGGGAGCAACCUCCGGGGGUGGCGGAGCGGCACUCACCGAGGAGGAGGAGAAGGAGGAGCUGGCUCUGCUGUUGCUUUCGCGGGGCCCGGCCCGGCUUCGGCUCUGGCUCCCUCCCUCGCCGAGCCGCCGCCUCCCUGUUCCUGGCGCCGCCGCCGCCGCCGAUUCCUCCGCCUCCUCUGCCCCCACCCCUCCGUCCUCGGAGGGGCGCACGGGGGCGGCGAGCUCGCGAUGGCCGCCUCCUGCAGCAGGCACGGCUACGGCUGCGGCGCCCGCACACAGCCCGGCGGCGGCAGGAGGGCCGCGGGCAUCCCCGCUCCGUCCUCCGUCUGCCCGGCCGCCCCCGCCGCCCGGCGGACUCUACCAGCCCUCUGCGGCCCGUCUGCCCCGCAGCAGCCGGGCCCCCUCCCUUACUCGGGUCUGGGCGCCUCGCCCCGGGCCCGUUCCCUCUUGGCGGCCGCGGGAAACCCGCGGGGGGCGGCCGGGAGCCGCGCUGGAACGGAGGCAGGAAGGCGGUGUGGCUUUGUUAGCCCUGGCCCUUUGCUCGCUUCCCCGCGAUCUCCGGUGUGUGACCGCCCCGCUGGGCUACAGGAGCUCAUCGGCGAAGUUCAGGGGGAGCUACCUCCCGUCCUCGUUCCGGCGGGGGCAGCCCCUCCCUGGUAG